CCUACGGGUGGCAGCAGUGGGGAAUAUUGCACAAUGGGGGAAACCCUGAUGCAGCGACGCCGCGUGCGUGAAGAAGUAAUUCGUUAUGUAAAGCUCUAUCAGCAGGGAAGAAAAUGACGGUACCUGAGUAAUAAGCCCCGGCUAACUACGUGCCAGCAGCCGCGGUAAUACGUAGGGGGCAAGCGUUAUCCGGAUUUACUGGGUGGAAAGGGAGCGUAUACGGCAGUGCAAGUCUGGAGUGAAAGGCGGGGGCUCAACCCCCGGACUGCUCUGGAAACUGUACGGCUGGAGUGCAGGAGAGGUAAGUGGAAUUCCUAGUGUAGCGGUGAAAUGCGUAGAUAUUAGGAGGAACACCAGGGGCGAAGGCGGCUUACUGGACUGUAACUGACGUUGAGGCUCGAAAGCGUGGGGAGCAAACAGGAUUAGAUACCCGAGUAGUC
rnacentral:rRNA from 1 species